rnacentral:rRNA from 1 species
CAGUCGCCGCGGUAAUACGAAGGGGGCUAGCGUUGCUCGGAAUGGCUGGGCGUAAAGGGCGCGUAGGCGGUUUGCCAAGUUAGAUGUGAAAUUCCUGGGCUCAACCUGGGGGCUGCAUUUGAUACUGGCAGGCUUGAGUAUGGAAGAGGGUCGUGGAAUUCCCAGUGUAGAGGUGAAAUUCGUAGAUAUUGGGAAGAACACCGGUGGCGAAGGCGGCAACCUGGUCCAUAAUUGACGCUGAGGCGCGAAAGCGUGGGGAGCAAACAGGAUUAGAUACCCGCGUAGUCCCUGUCUCUUAUAC